rnacentral:rRNA from 1 species
UACGAAGGGGGCUAGCGUUGCUCGGAUUGACUGGGCGUAAAGGGCGCGUAGGCGGUUCGUACAGUCAGACGUGAAAUUCCUGGGCUCAACCUGGGGGCUGCGUUUGAUACGUGCGGACUUGAGUGCGGAAGAGGGUCGUGGAAUUCCAGUGUGAGGUGAAAUUCGUAGAUAUUGGGAAGAACACCGGUGGCGAAGGCGGCGACCUGGUCCGAUACUGACGCUGAGGCGCGAAAGCCAGGGGAGCAAACGGG